AUUGAACGCUGGCGGAAUGCUUUACACAUGCAAGUCGAACGGUAACAGGUCUUCGGAUGCUGACGAGUGGCGAACGGGUGAGUAAUAUAUCGGAACGUGCCCAGUCGUGGGGGAUAACGUAUCGAAAGUUACGCUAAUACCGCAUACGACACAUGGAUUAAAGCGGGGGAUCGCAAGACGUCUCGCGCUUGGAGCGGCCGAUAUCAGAUUAGGUAGUUGGUGGGGUAAAGGCUCACCAAGCCAACGAUCUGUAGCUGGUCUGAGAGGACGGCCAGCCACACUGGAACUGAGACACGGUCCAGACUCCUACGGGAGGCAGCAGUGGGGAAUUUUGGACAAUGGACGCAAGUCUGAUCCAGCCAUUCCGCGUGCAGGAUGAAGGCCCUCGGGUUGUAAACUGCUUUUGUACGGAACGAAAAGGUCUCUCCUAAUACGAGGGGCUCAUGACGGUACCGUAAGAAUAAGCACCGGCUAACUACGUGCCAGCCGCCGCGGUAACAC
rnacentral:rRNA from 1 species